rnacentral:rRNA from 1 species
GCCGAUCAGGCCGUUGGCGAGGUAACGGCUCACCAAACCUUUGACCGGUACGGGCCAUGAGAGUGGUAGCCCGGAGAUGGACACUGAGAUAGGGGUCCAGGCCCUACGGGGCGCAGCAGGCGCGAAAACUCCACACUGUACGUAAGUACGAUGGGGUUACCUCGAGUGUAGUCUGUAAAAGAUUGCUUUUCCAUAGAGUAAUAUCCUGUGGGAAUAAGAGGGGGGCAAGACUGGUGUCAGCCGCCGCGGUAACACCACCCCCUCGAGUGGUAGGGACUUUUAUUUGGCCUAAAGCGUUCGUAGCCGUCUGUAACCGUUGCCCGUUAAAUCCAGCGUCUCAAGCGUUGGACUGCGGGCGAUACCUUACAGAUUGAGGGUGGGAUAGGUAAGCGGUAUUUCUGGGGUAGGGGCGAAAUCCUUUGAUCCCAGGAGGACCACCAGUGGCGAAGGCUGCUUACUAGAACACGCCUGACGGUCAGGAACGAAAGCUGGGGUAGCGAACCGGAUUAGAUACCCGGGUAGUCCCAGCUGUAAACGAUGCGCGCUAGGUGUUGGGUCGGCCAUGCGCCGCCCCAGUGCCGCAGGGAAGCCGUUAAGCGCGCCGCCUGGGGAGUACGGCCGCAAGGCUGAAACUUAAAGGAAUUGGCGGGGGAGCAC